rnacentral:rRNA from 1 species
CGGGGUAACGGCCCACCAAGACAACGAUGGAUAGGGGUUCUGAGAGGAAGGUCCCCCACAUUGGAACUGAGACACGGUCCAAACUCCUACGGGAGGCAGCAGUGAGGAAUAUUGGUCAAUGGACGAGAGUCUGAACCAGCCAAGUAGCGUGAAGGAUGACUGCCCUAUGGGUUGUAAACUUCUUUUAUAUGGGAAUAAAAUGUUCCACGUGUGGGAUUUUGUAUGUACCAUAUGAAUAAGGAUCGGCUAACUCCGUGCCAGCAGCCGCGGUAAUACGGAGGAUCCGAGCGUUAUCCGGAUUUAUUGGGUUUAAAGGGAGCGUAGGUGGAUUGUUAAGUCAGUUGUGAAAGUUUGCGGCUCAACCGUAAAAUUGCAGUUGAAACUGGCAGUCUUGAGUACAGUAGAGGUGGGCGGAAUUCGUGGUGUAGCGGUGAAAUGCUUAGAUAUCACGAAGAACUCCGAUUGCGAAGGCAGCUCACUGAACUGCAACUGACACUGAGGCUCGAAAGUGUGGGUAUCAAACAGGAUUAGAUACCCUGGUAGUCCACACAGUAAACGAUGAAUACUCGCUGUUUGCGAUAUACAGCAA